GUGGGGAAUAUUGGACAAUGGGCGAAAGCCUGAUCCAGCCAUGCCGCGUGUGUGAAGAAGGUCUUCGGAUUGUAAAGCACUUUAAGUUGGGAGGAAGGGCAGUAAGUUAAUACCUUGCUGUUUUGACGUUACCGACAGAAUAAGCACCGGCUAACUUCGUGCCAGCAGCCGCGGUAAUACGAAGGGUGCAAGCGUUAAUCGGAAUUACUGGGCGUAAAGCGCGCGUAGGUGGUUUUGUAAGUUGGAGGUGAAAUCCCCGGGCUCAACCUGGGAACUGCCUCCAAAACUGCAUGACUAGAGUACGGUAGAGGGUAGUGGAAUUUCCUGUGUAGCGGUGAAAUGCGGAGAUAUAGGAAGGAACACCAGUGGCGAAGGCGACUACCUGGACUGAUACUGACACUGAGGUGCGAAAGCGUGGGGAGCAAACAGGAUUAGAAACCCCAGUAGUCC
rnacentral:rRNA from 1 species